GCUUUCAUACCUAGAGUGCUCAGCCUUUUUCCCUUCUUUCAGUCAAAUGAUUCCCGCAUUUCACUUGACAUUCAUGCCACCACUGAUUUGCACAUGUGACAGAAACUUCUCUUGAAAUGCAAUGGGAAGAGUAUGUUUAUUCCAUUACAGACUACUAAUCCCAUUACAAUUUGGACAGACUCAACUGCCAUUACUGAGUUUGCUGCAAUAUUUGUCGAUCAGUGUGUGUGGGUUUGUUGGCAUGAUGAAGUGAAGAGUAUUCCGGGGUUUACUACCACGUCGGCCUUAUUUGAGAUUUACCCAAUCAUGGCAGCAGCAGUAAUGUGGAGUCCAUUAUGGUCAGGCCAUGCAGUUAGAUAUUUUUCGGAUAAAAAUCGGGUCACAUGCCACAUAAUUAAUAAAGGUCGUUCUGCAUCUCUGACCAUAAUGCGCUUUCUGAGGAAAUUGACUUGGCUUGCUGCUAACUAUAAUUUCUUCUAGGUGUGUGUCCAUAUUCCUGGCAUUCAUAAUGUAGCAGCUGAUCAUCUAUUUUACGCGUGGUUUCAGGAAUACCUCAGAGCUUUACCAACGGCUGCCCUGUUAGCUACCCCGACACCAUUGUGGCAGGAUAUGACAUUGCACUAGAGCACCUAUUAACUCAUGACCUGCACCUAUCACAGCUGGCUCUUUCGGAAAGUACAAAAC